AGAGUUUGAUCCUGGCUCAGAACGUACGCUGGCGGCACGCCUAACACAUGCAAGUCGAACGAAGUAGCAAUACUUAGUGGCAGACGGGUGAGUAAAAUGUAGGUAUCUGCCCUUUGGCCUGGAAUAACACGAGGAAACUUGUGCUAAUACCGGAUAAGUCUUUACGGAGAAAGCUUUAUGCACCAUUGGAUGAGCCUGCACUUGAUUAGUUUGUUGGUGGGGUAAUGGCCUACCAAGACUGUGAUCAAUAGCUGAUUUGAGAGGAUGAUCAGCCACAUUGGGACUGAGACACGGCCCAAACUCCUACGGGAGGCAGCAGUGGGGAAUCUUGCACAAUGGAGGAAACUCUGAUGCAGCGAUGCCGCGUGAGUGAAGAAGGCCCUUGGGUUGUAAAGCUCUUUCGUCGGGGAAGAAAAUGACUGUACCCGAAUAAGAAGGUCCGGCUAACUUCGUGCCAGCAGCCGCGGUAAUACGAAGGGACCUAGCGUAGUUCGGAAUUACUGGGCUUAAAGAGUUCGUAGGUGGUUAAAAAAGUUGGUGGUGAAAUCCCAGAGCUUAACUCUGGAACUGCCAUCAAAACUUUUUAGCUAGAGUAUGAUAGAGGAAAGCAGAGUUUCUAGUGUAGAGGUGAAAUUCGUAGAUAUUAGAAAGAAUACCAAUUGCGAAGGCAGCUUUCUGGAUCAUUACUGACACUGAGGAACGAAAGCAUGGGUAGCGAAGAGGAUUAGAUACCCUCGUAGUCCAUGCCGUAAACGAUGUGUGUUAGACGUUGGAAAUUUAUUUUCAGUGUCGCAGCGAAAGCGAUAAACACACCGCCUGGGGAGUACGACCGCAAGGUUAAAACUCAAAUGAAUUGACGGGGACCCGCACAAGUAGUGGAGCAUGUGGUUUAAUUCGAAGAUACGCGCAGAACCUUACCAACACUUGACAUGUUCGUCGCGACUUUAAGAGAUUAAAGUUUUCGGUUCGGCCGGACGAAACACAGGUGCUGCAUGGCUGUCGUCAGCUCGUGUCGUGAGAUGUUGGGUUAAGUCCCGCAACGAGCGCAACCCUCACUUUUAGUUGCCAUCAUUUAGUUGGGCACUCUGAAAGAACUGCCAGUGAUAAGCUGGAGGAAGGUGGGGAUGACGUCAAGUCCUCAUGGCCCUUACGUGUUGGGCUACACACGUGCUACAAUGGUAUCUACAACAGGAAGCAAGACUGCGAAGUUAAGCAAAUCCUUAAAAGAUACCUCAGUUCGGAUUGCACUCUGCAACUCGAGUGCAUGAAGCUGGAAUUACUAGUAAUCGUGGAUCAGCGUGCCACGGUGAAUGCGUUCCCGGGUCUUGUACACACCGCCCGU
rnacentral:rRNA from 1 species